UAGUCCACGCCGUAAACGAUGUCUACUAGCCGUUGGGAGACUUGAUUUCUUAGUGGCGCAGCUAACGCACUAAGUAGACCGCCUGGGGAGUACGGCCGCAAGGUUAAAACUCAAAUGAAUUGACGGGGGCCCGCACAAGCGGUGGAGCAUGUGGUUUAAUUCGAUGCAACGCGAAGAACCUUACCAGGUCUUGACAUCCUGCGAAUUUUCUAGAGAUAGAUUAGUGCCUUCGGGAACGCAGUGACAGGUGCUGCAUGGCUGUCGUCAGCUCGUGUCGUGAGAUGUUGGGUUAAGUCCCGUAACGAGCGCAACCCUUGUCCUUAGUUGCCAGCACAUAAUGGUGGGAACUCUAAGGAGACUGCCGGUGACAAGCCGGAGGAAGGUAAGGAUGACGUCAAGUCAGCAUGCCCCUUAUGCUCUGGGCUACACACGUGCUACAAUGGCCGUGACAAAGAGUUGCUACUUUGUGAAAACAAGCUAAUCUCAUAAACGCGG
rnacentral:rRNA from 1 species